UGAAGCCGGAAUUGCUAGUAAUGGCAGGUCAGCAUACUGCCGUGAAUACGUUCCCGGGCCCUUGUACACACCGCCCGUCACACCAUGAGAGUUGGGAAUACCCGAAGCCUGUGAGCUAACGUAAGAGGCAGCAGUCGAAGGUAGAAUCAAUGAUUGGGGUGAAGUCGUAACAAGGUAAC
rnacentral:rRNA from 1 species